rnacentral:rRNA from 1 species
GUGAGGAAUUUUCCGCAAUGGGCGAAAGCCUGACGGAGCAAUGCCGCGUGAAGGAUGAAGGCCUAUGGGUUGUAAACUUCUUUUCUUAGAGAAGAAUAUUGACGGUAUCUGAGGAAUAAGCAUCGGCUAACUCUGUGCCAGCAGCCGCGGUAAGACAGAGGAUGCAAGCGUUAUCCGGAAUGAUUGGGCGUAAAGCGUCUGUAGGUGGCUUCAAAAGUCUCCUGUCAAAGAUCAGGGCUUAACACUGGGGCGGCAGGAGAAACUCUGAGGGUAGAGUUUGGUAGGGGCAGAGGGAAUUCCCGGUGGAGCGGUGAAAUGAGUAGAGAUCGGGAGGAACACCAAAGGCGAAAGCACUCUGCUGGGCCACAACUGACACUGAGAGACGAAAGCGAGGGGAGCAAAAGGGAUUAGAAACCCCGGUAGUCC